AGAAAUCUUACAAUCAGCAUGGAAACAAACAGUAGACAGCUUGAGGAGGCUCUACUUACUGCUGCAAGAUGUGGUGACACGCAAACAGUAAAGAGAUGUUUAGAGGGAGGAGUAAAUGUUAACUAUCAAGACUAUAAUGGCGAAACUGCACUUCACAAUGCUGCACGGAUCAGAAACACAGACAUCAUCAAAUUGCUAAUUGAUGCUGGUAUUGAUAGCAUUGCCCAGAACAAG